GUUCACUUCAGUAGUCACGUACUAAAAUUGGAAUAAUACAGAGAAGAUUAGCAUUGCCCCUGUGCAAGGAUGGCAAGCAAAUUUGUGAAGCAUUCCAUAUUUCU
rnacentral:snRNA from 1 species